GGGUUGUGAGGUUAAGCGACUAAGCGUACACGGUGGAUGCCCUGGCAGUCAGAGGCGAUGAAGGACGUGCUAAUCUGCGAAAAGCGUCGGUAAGGUGAUAUGAACCGUUACAGCCGGCGAUGUCCGAAUGGGGAAACCCAGUGUGAUUCGUCACACUAUCGUUAACUGAAUACAUAGGUUAACGAGGCGAACCGGGGGAACUGAAACAUCUAAGUACCCCGAGGAAAAGAAAUCAACCGAGAUUCCCCCAGUAGCGGCGAGCGAACGGGGAGCAGCCCAGAGUCUGAAUCAGCUUGUGUGUUAGUGGAACGGUCUGGAAAGUCCGACGGUACAGGGUGAUAGUCCCGUACACCAAAAUGCACAGGCUGUGAACUCGAAGAGUAGGGCGGGACACGUGGUAUCCUGUCUGAAUAUGGGGGGACCAUCCUCCAAGGCUAAAUACUCCUGACUGACCGAUAGUGAACCAGUACCGUGAGGGAAAGGCGAAAAGAACCCCGGCGAGGGGAGUGAAAAAGAACCUGAAACCGUGUACGUACAAGCAGUGGGAGCACCUUCGGGUGUGACUGCGUACCUUUUGUAUAAUGGGUCAGCGACUUAUAUUCUGUAGCAAGGUUAACCGUAUAGGGGAGCCGCAGGGAAACCGAGUCUUAACUGGGCGUUAAGUUGCAGGGUAUAGACCCGAAACCCGGUGAUCUAGCCAUGGGCAGGUUGAAGGUUGGGUAACACUAACUGGAGGACCGAACCGACUAAUGUUGAAAAAUUAGCGGAUGACUUGUGGCUGGGGGUGAAAGGCCAAUCAAACCGGGAGAUAGCUGGUUCUCCCCGAAAGCUAUUUAGGUAGCGCCUCGUGAAUUCAUCUUCGGGGGUAGAGCACUGUUUCGGCUAGGGGGUCAUCCCGACUUACCAACCCGAUGCAAACUACGAAUACCGAAGAAUGUUAUCACGGGAGACACACGGCGGGUGCUAACGUCCGUCGUGAAGAGGGAAACAACCCAGACCGCCAGCUAAGGUCCCAAAGUCAUGGUUAAGUGGGAAACGAUGUGGGAAGGCACAGACAGCCAGGAUGUUGGCUUAGAAGCAGCCAUCAUUUAAAGAAAGCGUAAUAGCUCACUGGUCGAGUCGGCCUGCGCGGAAGAUGUAACGGGGCUAAACCAUGCACCGAAGCUGCGGCAGCGACACUAUGUGUUGUUGGGUAGGGGAGCGUUCUGUAAGCCUGCGAAGGUGACCUGUGAGGGUUGCUGGAGGUAUCAGAAGUGCGAAUGCUGACAUAAGUAACGAUAAAGCGGGUGAAAAGCCCGCUCGCCGGAAGACCAAGGGUUCCUGUCCAACGUUAAUCGGGGCAGGGUGAGUCGACCCCUAAGGCGAGGCCGAAAGGCGUAGUCGAUGGGAAACAGGUUAAUAUUCCUGUACUUGGUGUUACUGCGAAGGGGGGACGGAGAAGGCUAUGUUAGCCGGGCGACGGUUGUCCCGGUUUAAGCAUGUAGGCUGGUUGUCCAGGCAAAUCCGGAUAAUCAAGGCUGAGGUGUGAUGACGAGGCACUACGGUGCUGAAGUAACAAAUGCCCUGCUUCCAGGAAAAGCCUCUAAGCAUCAGGUAACAUCAAAUCGUACCCCAAACCGACACAGGUGGUCAGGUAGAGAAUACCAAGGCGCUUGAGAGAACUCGGGUGAAGGAACUAGGCAAAAUGGUGCCGUAACUUCGGGAGAAGGCACGCUGGUGUGUAGGUGAAGUCCCUGCGGAUGGAGCUGAGACCAGUCGAAGAUACCAGCUGGCUGCAACUGUUUAUUAAAAACACAGCACUGUGCAAACACGAAAGUGGACGUAUACGGUGUGACGCCUGCCCGGUGCCGGAAGGUUAAUUGAUGGGGUUAUCCGUAAGGAGAAGCUCUUGAUCGAAGCCCCGGUAAACGGCGGCCGUAACUAUAACGGUCCUAAGGUAGCGAAAUUCCUUGUCGGGUAAGUUCCGACCUGCACGAAUGGCGUAAUGAUGGCCAGGCUGUCUCCACCCGAGACUCAGUGAAAUUGAACUCGCUGUGAAGAUGCAGUGUACCCGCGGCAAGACGGAAAGACCCCGUGAACCUUUACUAUAGCUUGACACUGAACAUUGAGCCUUGAUGUGUAGGAUAGGUGGGAGGCUUUGAAGCGUGGACGCCAGUCUGCGUGGAGCCAACCUUGAAAUACCACCCUUUAAUGUUUGAUGUUCUAACGUUGGCCCCUUACCGGGGUUGCGGACAGUGUCUGGUGGGUAGUUUGACUGGGGCGGUCUCCUCCCAAAGCGUAACGGAGGAGCACGAAGGUUAGCUAAUCCUGGUCGGACAUCAGGAGGUUAGUGCAAUGGCAUAAGCUAGCUUGACUGCGAGCGUGACGGCGCGAGCAGGUGCGAAAGCAGGUCAUAGUGAUCCGGUGGUUCUGAAUGGAAGGGCCAUCGCUCAACGGAUAAAAGGUACUCCGGGGAUAACAGGCUGAUACCGCCCAAGAGUUCAUAUCGACGGCGGUGUUUGGCACCUCGAUGUCGGCUCAUCACAUCCUGGGGCUGAAGUAGGUCCCAAGGGUAUGGCUGUUCGCCAUUUAAAGUGGUACGCGAGCUGGGUUUAGAACGUCGUGAGACAGUUCGGUCCCUAUCUGCCGUGGGCGCUGGAGAAUUGAGGGGGCUGCUCCUAGUACGAGAGGACCGGAGUGGACGCAUCACUGGUGUUCGGGUUGUCAUGCCAAUGGCACUGCCCGGUAGCUAAAUGCGGAAGAGAUAAGUGCUGAAAGCAUCUAAGCACGAAACUUGCCCCGAGAUGAGUUCUCCCUGAGACUUUAAGUCUCCUGAAGGAACGUUAAAGACGAUGACGUUGAUAGGCCGGGUGUGUAAGCGCAGCGAUGCGUUGAGCUAACCGGUACUAAUGAACCGUGAGGCUUAACCUUACAACGCCGAAG
rnacentral:rRNA from 1 species